rnacentral:rRNA from 1 species
GGCAUGCCUUACACAUAGCAAGUCGAACGGCAGCACGGGAGCAAUCCUGGUGGCGAGUGGCGAACGGGUGAGUAAUAUAUCGGAACGUGCCCAGUCGUGGGGGAUAACGUAGCGAAAGCUACGCUAAUACCGCAUACGAUCUAUGGAUGAAAGCGGGGGAUCGCAAGACCUCGCGCGAUUGGAGCGGCCGAUAUCAGAUUAGGUAGUUGGUGAGGUAAAGGCUCACCAAGCCGACGAUCUGUAGCUGGUCUGAGAGGACGACCAGCCACACUGGGACUGAGACACGGCCCAGACUCCUACGGGAGGCAGCAGUGGGGAAUUUUUGGACAAUGGGCGCAAGCCUGAUCCAGCAAUGCCGCGUGCAGGAUGAAGGCCUUCGGGUUGUAAACUGCUUUUGUACGGAACGAAACGGUGAGCUCUAAUACAGUUUGCUAAUGACGGUACCGUAAGAAUAAGCACCGGCUAACUACGUG